UAUAAGAGUCUAAAUGCCCUAAAGGCACCAAAUCCUACCUAAUAUUGGAAGCAAAAUGAGGUAAGCCCUGGUUAGGACUUGGAUGGGGGACUGCCAAUGAAUAUCAGGUUCUGUGGGUU
rnacentral:rRNA from 11 species